UACGGAGGGUGCGAGCGUUGCUCGGAAUCACUGGGCGUAAAGGGUGCGUAGGCGGGUUUUUAAGUCAGAGGUGAAGUCCUGGAGCUCAACUCCAGAACUGCCUUUGAUACUGGAAAUCUUGAGUAUGGGAGAGGUGAGUGGAACUGCGAGUGUAGAGGUGAAAUUCGUAGAUAUUCGCAAGAACACCAGUGGCGAAGGCGGUUCACUGGCCCAUAACUGACGCUGAGGCACGAAAGCGUGGGGAGCAAACAGG
rnacentral:misc_RNA from 1 species